CCUACGGGAGGCAGCAGUCGAGAAUCAUUCACAAUGGGGGAAACCCUGAUGGUGCGACGCCGCGUGGGGAAUGAAGGUCUUCGGAUUGUAAACCCCUGUCAUGUGGGAGCAAAUUAACAAGAUAUUACCACAAGCGGACGAGCCGGCUAACUCUGUGCCAGCCGCCGCGGUAAUACAGAGGUCUCAAGUGUUGUUCGGAAUCACUGGGCGUAAAGCGUGCGUAGGCUGUUUCGUAAGGCGUGUGUAAAAGCCCGGGGCUCAACCCCGGCGAGCCGUUGAAACUGGCUGUCUUGAGAGGUCGAGAGGUAUGCGGAAUGCGCAGUGUAGCGGUGAAAUGCUUAGAUAUUGCGCAGAACUCCGAUUGCGAAGGCAGCAUACCGGCGGCGAUCUGACGCUGAGGCACGAAAGCGUGGGUAUCGAACAGGAUUAGAUACCCGUGUAGUC
rnacentral:rRNA from 1 species